rfam:TPA: Bos taurus chromosome 8, whole genome shotgun sequence.
UCCCUAGUGGCUUAGUCAGUAGAGAAUCCACCUGCAAUGUGGGAGACCUAGGUUCGAUCCCUGGGUUGGGAA